GACGAACGCUGGCGGCGUGCUUAACACAUGCAAGUCGAACGGAAAGGCCCUGCUUUUGUGGGGUGCUCGAGUGGCGAACGGGUGAGUAACACGUGAGUAACCUGCCCUUGACUUUGGGAUAACUUCAGGAAACUGGGGCUAAUACCGGAUAGGAGCUCCUGCUGCAUGGUGGGGGUUGGAAAGUUUCGGCGGUUGGGGAUGGACUCGCGGCUGAUCAGCUUGUUGGUGGGGUAGUGGCUUACCAAGGCUUUGACGGGUAGCCGGCCUGAGAGGGUGACCGGCCACAUUGGGACUGAGAUACGGCCCAGACUCCUACGGGAGGCAGCAGUGGGGAAUAUUGCACAAUGGGCGGAAGCCUGAUGCAGCAACGCCGCGUGCGGGAUGACGGCCUUCGGGUUGUAAACCGCUUUCGCCUGUGACGCAGCGUGAGUGACGGUAAUGGGUAAAGAAGCACCGGCUAACUACGUG
rnacentral:rRNA from 1 species